GAUGAACGCUAGCGGCAGGCCUAACACAUGCAAGUCGAACGGUAACAGGGAAAAGCUUGCUUUUCCGCUGACGAGUGGCGCACGGGUGCGCAACGCGUAUAGAACCUACCCUGUACAGGGGGAUAGCCCGGAGAAAUCCGGAUUAAUACCCCGUAGUAAUUAGAAUUGGCAUCGAUUUUAAUUUAAAGCUUCGGCGGUACGGGAUGGCUAUGCGUCCUAUUAGCCAGAUGGUGAGGUAACGGCUCACCAUAGCUAUGAUAGGUAGGGGCCCUGAGAGGGGGAUCCCCCACACUGGUACUGAGACACGGACCAGACUCCUACGGGAGGCAGCAGUGAGGAAUAUUGGACAAUGGGCUCACGCCUGAUCCAGCCAUGCCGCGUGCAGGAAGACAGCCCUAUGGGUUGUAAACUGCUUUUAUACGGGAAGAAUAAGGGGCACGUGUGCCCUGGUGACGGUACCGUAAGAAUAAGGACCGGCUAACUCCG
rnacentral:rRNA from 1 species